rnacentral:lncRNA from 1 species
AUAGAGAAAGAGAAUCACUCAGGAGAAGACAGGCUUUUCUUUUCCUCGGGCCUCAGGACUUGGAGCAUUCAGGACUAUCCCCCAGUUGGGAUGCAUUCCAGCCAGACUGCAUGACUCGGGUGGAAAAAAAAAUCAGCUCUUACUUCUUUCCUGACUAAGGGAGAGAGGAUCAUACUCCAAGCAAAACGAAGCAGAGACUUAGAACAAAUGAAUGGAAAGUCCUGACCUUGUCUGCGUCUCCUGAAUCAGCCAUGCCUGAAGUCUGCUCCAAGAUCAUCUAACUCAUACGGCAACAUGCUGGUUGGGUUCUGUCAACAUGCUACAGACCUAGACAUGUCUGGGAAGAGGGAUUUUGAGAAAAUUCAUCCAUAAGAUUUACCUGUGGGCACAGCUAUGGGGCAUUUUCUUCAUUAAUGAUUGAUAUGGGAGGGCCCAGCUCAUGGAAGGGGGUGCCACCCCUGCGUAGAAUGUCCUGAUUUGUAUAAGAAACCCUGCUGACCAAGGUAGAAGGAGCAAGCCAGUUAGCAACACUCUUCCAUGACUUCUGCAUCAAUUGCUGCCUCCAGGUUCCUGCCUUGAGUUCUUGCUUUGACUUCCCUCCGUGAUGGACUUUGAUGGGAAACUUUAAGCUGAAAUAAACACUUUCUUCCCU